AAUCUUCUCACUUUGAGAUGAUUGUGCAUCUAUACAUGAACAUGUGGAAGAAGGUCUAGAUGUUCCUAUAUAGUGAAAGCUGAUUCUCUCUGUAUUGUUGCAUUUGAUUUGACUAAAAUUUUCUCUUAUGCAAUAAAUGCGACUUACUCAAAUCAAAUGACCAAGAUAAUGUAAUGAUACUUUGUUAUUUGCAAAUUAUGCACCUUCUUUAUUCCCCUCACCUCUUAUUUAGAAUGCUUUAGCUUUACCAACCCCAACAAGGCAUCCCCUAAUAUUUGGUCAUUGACAAUAUUUUAUUUAUUUAUUUAUUUUUAUCCGUGCAGCUUUGAGAAUAAUCCUCGUCUGGAGGGUCCCGAGUUGCAGGGAUUGGCUAGUUAUGAUACAAACUGCUCAUAAAGAAAUGGGGUAUAGAUGCAGAAUUCGCGACUAUUUACUGUUGUUCUGAAUGAUGCUUUUCUUAAAUAUGUUAAAAAGGCAGGCAUAUCGUGCCUCAAGAAUACCUACUGCUAUAAGUUUUAACUCAUACUAGUUGCCAGUGUAGGUGGUCGUAUAACUUGUAUCACUAUGAGUGGUGAAAAACCUGUAAAAUUUUCACACUAUGAUCAAUUCAAACUUUAUUCCAUGUGUAAUUUCAAUAUCUAGUGUCAUAUUCUCUUUGUUGGCUACUAAAAGAACUUUGAAAAGUGGUAGUCAAGUCUGAAAACUUUGAUAACAAAUAAUCUCUGAAAUUCAAGUAUAAUCAUUUAUAUUAUGUUCAAGACUUGA
rnacentral:lncRNA from 1 species